rfam:Angiostrongylus cantonensis strain Taiwan genome assembly, scaffold: ACAC_contig0000838
GCAGCGAUGUUCGAGUGGUUAAGGAGAUUGACUCGAAACCAAUUGGGCUCUGACCGCGAAGGUUCGAAUCCUAACCGCUGCC